AUACAAGAGUCAGAACGUAGACAACCCCAGUUUUAUGCUCAAAAAGCAUGAAUAGCUCUGCUGAUUUGACAUUCGGUUUCCGAUUUUUACACACAAAGUGAGCCAAAACAGAUGCUUUUUGCUGUGGUAAAAGAGUGGCGUCAAUCUCGUAUUGACGCCACUCGGGAUUUUUGAGACCUCAGGCUCAAAAAUAAAGGCAUGGAAUUCCAAAGAACGUCGCUGCCGUAAGCACCACCUAAGGAAAGUAUCACGACAAACUUUGUCUUCAAUCUGACAAGAGUUUUU
rfam:Streptococcus pyogenes M1 GAS, complete genome.